UAAACACCGGGUCCUGUACUAUCACCGAAGUUAAGCAACGCCGAACCUGGUCAGUACUUAGAUGGGUGACCGCUUGGGAAUACUAGGCGCUGUAA